GACGAACGCUGGCGGCGUGCUUAACACAUGCAAGUCGAACGGAAAGGCCCUGCUUUUGUGGGGUGCUCGAGUGGCGAACGGGUGAGUAACACGUGAGUAACCUGCCCUUGACUUUGGGAUAACUUCAGGAAAAUGGGGCUAAUACCGGAUAGGAGAUCCUGCUGCAUGGUGGGGGAUGGAAAGUGUCGGCGGUGGGGGCUGGACUCGCGGCUUAUCAGCUUGUUGGUGGGGUAGUGGCUUACCAAGGCUUUGACGGGUAGCCGGCCUGAGAGGGUGACCGGCCACCUUGGGCCUGCGAUACGGCCCAGACUCCUACGGGCGGCAGCAGUGGGGAAUAUUGCACAAUGGGCGGAAGCCUGAUGCAGCAACGCCGCGUGCGGGAUGACGGCCUUCGGGUUGUAAACCGCUUUCGCCUGUGACGAAGCGUGAGUGACGGUAAUGGGUAAAGAAGCACCGGCUAACUACGUG
rnacentral:rRNA from 1 species